AUUGAACGCUGGCGGCAGGCCUAACACAUGCAAGUCGAACGAGUGGCGGACGGGUGAGUAAUGUCUGGGAACCUGCCCGAUCUACGGGGCUAACUACUGGAAACGGUAGCUAAUACCGCAUACCAUCGGAUGUGCCCAGAUGGGAUUAUCUAGUCGGUGGGGUAACGGCUCACCUAGGCGACGCUCCCUAGCUGGUCUGAGAGGAUGACCAGCCACACUGGAACUGAGACACGGUCCAGACUCCUACGGGAGGCAGCAGUGGGGAAUAUUGCACAAUGGGCGCAAGCCUGAUGGAGCCAGGCCGCGUGUAUGAAGAAGGCCUUCGGGUUGUAAAGUACUUUCAGUGAGGAGGCGUUACUCGCAGAAGAAGCACCGGCUAACUCCGUGCCAGCAGCCGCGGUAAUAC
rnacentral:rRNA from 1 species